rnacentral:lncRNA from 1 species
AUCCCUAAGGAAGUUGCAAAGUCUGGGUCACUGAAGGAAAAAUUAGGGGCUGGGGAGACAUACGUUCCUCUUGGGGUGCAGGAAAAGAGGGCUCCACUUUCUUGAGAGGACUAGGGGGAGCCAGGGGCUAGGAAGAUGGAAACUUGAGCCGGGGAGGUGAAAAACACGAGUCUAGGACUCAGAAUCAAGUUCCCUGAGUGGAAUCGGCGCCAGGCUUGGGUACCCUGGGGAUAUUAGGGGGGUCCCCGCACUACGGCUAUGUAGAAGGGGAAGAAUCAGAGGAUCUGAGGAUGGCGGCGGGAUCUCCCCAUCCUGGGCCUCCGAGAUUAUGAGUUGAGCUGCGCGAACGCAGGCCGCUUCCUCCCACAGGAAACCGCAGGCUUCGGGCACACCCAGCCUGCAGGGAGAGGCGCCCACUGCCCGCCCGCCCGGGGAGGCCCACGUGGGCAGCAGCCGCCGCCGCGGAGGGGGCGUGCCUUACAGAGCGAGUGGGGGCUGAGGUGGGAGGAUCACUUGAGCCUGCGAGGUGGAGAGGGAUCCCGGAACUGAGGUGCAUUCCUAGAGGGGUGUUGGGGGCUGGACCUGCAGUUCAGUUGCAGUUUGUGAGACCCCAAAGGGAGCAGAAUUCCUAGGUCCUGGGUUGGGAGGAGCUGGUGGCCAGGAUCCCUGCUGAGUCCCUUGGCUGGCCCUGUUCUCAGUGGAUUGGGAGCUGAGUAGGCUGCAGCGACAAUGCAAAGUGAUGGAAGGGGAGAGGCGGGCCUACAGCAAGGAAGUCCACCAGCGCAUCAACAAGCAACUGUGAGCUGGGCGCCUGGGCCCUGAGCUGGGGAGGAGGGGGUCAGAGGGGCUGAAGACUGGACUCCUGGGUCCUGCCUUUAGUGAUGCUGAGUUCUGCCCCCUUACUGGCCCCUCUUCCACCUCCCUGCCUGGGUAGUGAGGAGAUCCGGCGCUUGGAGGAGGUACGGGGUGAUCUCCAGGUGCAGAUCAGUGCAGCCCAGAACCAGGUCAAGCGGCUUCGGGACAGUGAGCGGCUGGAGAACAUGGACCGCCUGCUGAAGGGCCGGGCCCAGGUGCAGGUGGAGAUCGAGGAGCUGCAGGAGCAGACCAGGGCCCUGGACAAGCAGGUGGGGUUUGAGAGGGGGUUCUGUGGAUCCUGCUUACGGGCAAGUGUUGUAACCUCCCUGAGCCUUAGCUUCCUCAUGUGAAAUUGGGGCUAUUAGGCCGGGC